CGCGUAGGCGGACAUGUAAGUUGUGGGUGAAAUCCCGAGGCUUAACCUCGGAGCUGCCUGCAAAACUGCAUGUCUUGAGGUUUGGAGAGGGAAGUGGAAUUCCAGGUGUAGCGGUGAAAUGCGUAGAUAUCCGGAGGAACACCCGUGGCGAAGGCGGCUUCCUGGCCAUAUCCUGACGCUGAGGUGCGAAAGCUAGGGGAGCGAACGGGAUUAGAUACCCCGGUAGUCCUAGCCGUAAACGAUGGAUACUAGGUGUUAGAGGUAUCGACCCCUCUAGUGCCGGGAGCUAACGCAUUAAGUAUCCCGCCUGGGGAGUACGACCGCAAGGUUGAA
rnacentral:rRNA from 1 species